UACGUAGGGGGCAAGCGUUGUCCGGAUUUACUGGGCGUAAAGAGCGUGUAGGCGGCCACGCAGGUCCGUUGUGAAAACUCGAGGCUCAACCUCGAGACGCCGGUGGAAACCGUAAAGCUAGAGUCCGGAAGAGGAGAGUGGAAUUCCUGGUGUAGCGGUGAAAUGCGCAGAUAUCAGGAGGAACACCCGUGGCGAAAGCGGCUCUCUGGGACGGUACUGACGCUGAGACGCGAAAGCGUGGGGAGCAAACAGG
rnacentral:rRNA from 1 species